GCGGUUUUGCGGACAGUCGGAGGGACAUUACCGAGUUUACAACUCCCAAACCCAAUGUGAACGUUACCAAACUGUUGCCUCGGCGGGAUCUCUGCCCCGGGUGCGUCGCAGCCCCGGACCAAGGCGCCCGCCGGAGGACCAACCAAAACUCUUAUUGUAUACCCCCUCGCGGGUUUUUUACUAUCUGAGCCAUCUCGGCGCCCCUCGUGGGCGUUUCGAAAAUGAAUCAAAACUUUCAACAACGGAUCUCUUGGUUCUGGCAUCGAUGAAGAACGCAGCGAAAUGCGAUAAGUAAUGUGAAUUGCAGAAUUCAGUGAAUCAUCGAAUCUUUGAACGCACAUUGCGCCCGCCAGUAUUCUGGCGGGCAUGCCUGUCCGAGCGUCAUUUCAACCCUCGAACCCCUCCGGGGGGUCGGCGUUGGGGAUCGGCCCUUUACGGGGCCGGCCCCGAAAUACAGUGGCGGUCUCGCCGCAGCCUCUCCUGCGCAGUAGUUUGCACACUCGCAUCGGGAGCGCGGCGCGUCCACAGCCGUUAAACACGCCAAACUUCUGAAAUGUUGACCUCGGAUCAGGUAGGAAUACCCGCUGAACUUAAGCAUAUCAAAAGCGGGAAGAAAUG
rnacentral:rRNA from 1 species